CAACUUUCAAAAUUUCAAGUUUUUUAUAUUUCUUUCCACUUAUUCAGAAUGGUAGAAAAAGCCCAACAAAAUCUUUAAAUCCCACGAGGAUGAUAGAACUGUAUUUUUCUUUGACAUCUCUUAUUCAUCUCAGUUAGAUUAGUACCUUCCAUUGGCUGCAUCUUGAGGCAACAACAAGAUAUUCUUUUGUCAGUACUGCAAGGUCAGGGUGUCCUUUGAUGGGUGAACCAGUAUCACUCUCUUGAUACUAAUAGAAAUCUUGUAUAAAACUUGAAGAUGUGUCAAUCUGUCCUGAUCCAGAUAUUAAAACUGUGUUUUCUUUAUAGGUCUAUUCACUGUUUGGAAGAUGAAACCUGAUGAGCUGCAAUUUGGGUUGGAUUACAGUAUUUCAGAAGACUUUCUGAACUUGCCAGGCAACCCUUCCCCUAGACUUUGGGGACAGAGGAAAUUAAAUUUAUAUUUCCAGUGUCACACAAGGAGAUAGAAUGGAAUUGGCUGCUUUACACAAGUAAUGAAAACCAAUGCUUUGCUGUUCUUGGAAGGAGUGCUCGAAAGGAGAAAAGUGUGGCAUACACAUCUUGGUUUAGAGACAGAUUUUAUCUGGGAAGAGUGUGCCCAGGGGAAGAUACAAGAGGAAGGAGAAGAGGUGAUGCUACAAGCCAGCUUCCUGACCUCCAGAGUGGGACUGAAGCUUUUUAACGAGGUGGCAGAAGAAUUGCCCCAAGAAGAAAUGGGUAUUGACAGCAGUUGAGGAAAUGUAAUGCCUUUUAAAUAAAGAAAUUCAAGAGCAGCUCCA
rnacentral:lncRNA from 1 species